rnacentral:rRNA from 1 species
AAAAUGUAACGGGGCUGAAGCCAUGCACCGAAGCUGAGGAUGUGUAGCAAUACACGUGGUAGCGGAGCGUUCCGUAAGCUGAUGAAGGGAGACCUGUGAGGGCUCCUGGAGGUAUCGGAAGUGCGAAUGUUGACAUGAGUAACGAUAAAGAGGGUGAGAGACCCUCUCGCCGAAAGACCAAGGGUUCCUGCUUAAAGUUAAUCUGAGCAGGGUUAGCCGGCCCCUAAGGCGAGGCAGAAAUGCGUAGUCGAUGGGAACCACGUUAAUAUUCGUGGGCCUGGUGGUAGUGACGGAUUGCACAAGUUGUUCUGGUUUAUUGGAUUAUCAGGGCAGCGGAGCGGUUCCAGGAAAUAGCUCCACCGUAUAGACCGUACCCGAAACCGACACAGGUGGUCAGGUAGAGUAUACCAAGGCGCUUGAGAGAACUAUGUUGAAGGAACUCGGCAAAUUGCACGCGUAACUUCGGAAGAAGCGUGACCCCAUAUGAGGCAACUCUUGUGGGGUGGCACAGACCAGGGGGUAGCGACUGUUUAUCCAAAACACAGGGCUCUGCGAAGUCGCAAGACGACGUAUAGGGUCUGACGCCUGCCCGGUGCUGGAAGGUUAAGAGGAGAGGUGCAAGCUUUGAAUCGAAGCCCCAGUAAACGGCGGCCGUAACUAUAACGGUUCCUAAG